rnacentral:rRNA from 1 species
AACGCGAAGAACCUUACCUACUCUUGACAUCCUGCGAACCUGACUGAAAGGUUGGGGUGCCGAAAGGAACGCAGAGACAGGUGCUGCAUGGCUGUCGUCAGCUCGUGUUGUGAGAUGUUGGGUUAAGUCCCGUAACGAGCGCAACCCCUAUCCUUAGUUGCCAGCAAGUUAAGUUGGGGACUCUAAGGAGACUGCCGGUGAUGAACCGGAGGAAGGCGGGGACGACGUCAAGUCAUCAUGGCCUUUAUGAGUAGGGCUACACACGUGCUACAAUGGGGCGUACAGAGGGUCGCCAACCCGCAAGGGGGAGCCAAUCUCAGAAAGCGCCUCGUAGUCCGGAUUGGAGUCUGCAAUUCGACUCCAUGAAGUUGGAAUCGCUAGUAAUCGCGAAUCAGCAACGUCGCGGUGAAUACGUUCCCGGGCCUUGUACACACCGGCUAC